UUUGUAUUUGCACAACACGACACUUAAUGCGUGACCUCGUGAUAAAAUCUCGUCAAUAGCUCCGCCCCAAAUAGGAAGUCAUGCACAACCAUUGUUCAACCAUUUGUUUUGCCAGGGAAAAGGUAAACGUGGAGGAUACGAGUAGAUUUAGAUAAAGUCUAAACACUUGCGUUCUAAACAAAGUUAAAGAUUUACUAGCAAAUGACAAUGGAGAAUGCUGCCCACCUUCAAAGUCAGCUAACCUCUCUCAUGAACGCGGUAAUGAGGGCAGCGGUCGUGGAAAUAGUCAGACUUGUAGAGGGCAGCGCCGUGGCCCUUCGCGAAGAGUUGUCCAAGAGUAAACGGGAGAACGAAGCACUGAAAGCCGAGAACGAGUCGAAUAAAAAUAAGAUGCAAAAUUUGGAAGCAAAACUAGCUGCAGAGCAGCGUUCUGUCGGUUGUCAUGUAGCCGAAGCUGGUGGCGAUCCGUUUUUCCAAACAAAGGAAGAUGUUAAGGCUUGUGCAGAGAAGACCCGUGCAAGGCUGCAAUCUUUGGAGCCAGCAGGCCAAUCCCAGGCUACAGCUUUCAAUAAAGGGGAAGGCCUAAAAGUUGUUGCCACGGAGAAGGAUGGAAUAAAAGUACUUCGCAUCAAGAAGGAAAUAAAUGAAGGCACAGAACAUGACACACCAUGUCCAAUGACAGGUGAGCAGCCGUGUCCCAAAGUGGACAUGGUGUACGGCAAGGAGUGGAGCCAAAGCCUGUGGCGAGACGGAAAAGAAAUAGGAGACCAUAGCGACAGAACAGAGGAGAAAGAAACUCCAGGACCGUCAAUGACCCAGCAUCAGAUUGCAACUGGUAGCAACAAGAAGAAGCGCUGCGAUGUGUGUGGACCCAAGAAGGACAGGAAGACACAGUACACAUGCGUCAAGUGCAAGAAAUACAUUUGCAGCACACAUACAGUAAAACUCUGUCCCUCAUGUGAAAAGGAGAAUUGUACAUUAUGCGGAUGAUUGGAUUGAAGAGGACUGGAUUAAAGAGGAGGGCGUACCAGUGGAAACCAAUGAAAGUAUUGAUACUUCAGUCAUCCCAUUCAUGGCGGACAGUGAUUUGUCAGAGUAUGGAGACGGACUGUCCACACUUUGCAGCCAAGCGAAUUACAUGGAUGCCAUGACAGAGAGCUUGAAAGGCAGAUUAGGGUCUGUUAGGGAUAAACAAACCACACGAUUAAAAACUGGAUUGUUGGGGAAUACCAAUGCCAAGAAGAAACAGAGAAUAAUUGAACUAGGCUGGAUGGACUUCAAUGAAAAGGGGCAAGAGUUCAAGCAAGUCAGGACAGUAAACGGUGGCGGUACAAGACACCUCUAUGUUGACAAAAAGAAAUCUGUUGAGGAAAUCAAAGUAAUGGCAGAGGAAAUGUUUUUCCCAAAUGGACUUUCAAAGAAAAACACCCAACUGGAGGACUAUCGCAGAGAAAUCAGAUGGAGGUACACUCAAGUAAACAAUUCAAGCACUGUGGAAGAACUUUAUGAGGAAACCAAAGUGGGAUGUCUACGACUCUAUCUUUGCACAAAGGCACACAAUGUCCGAGAUUUUGGGGUUGUAGUCGGUGCCGCCUCCGCCUAUACCCAGAGUACGCGCUGCGCGUAGGGCCCCGCCUAUACACAGUACACGUUGCGCUUAGGGCCCCGCGGCCCCUAGAGGGCUCCCCACCCAGGGACUUUAGGAACUCAGUCGGGGUCUCAACUUACUGUUGGGAGUUAAAACAGCAGAAUACAUAUGGUUGCAAUUCCAAAUGUGGUUGUGCAUCAGCAGUUUUCUUUUCGUGUCUGUCACUGACAGUCACUCAAUUAGCCCAUGUCAACUAACAUUUUAUAGAUUGCUAGGUAACUUAGUCUGGCCAGCUUGUAGUAAUCAUGGCUGAAUUACAUGGAGGGGGGGCCCUCCAACCAAAUUAUUUGAUCAAAUUUGGUCUUUACUACUAUAGCCCAUAGAAACACGUUGAAUAGCACAUUCAUAAAUGGCAAAAAAAAUACAGUCAAAAAUAAAUCAUAAGGUUUUGUAGUGUCUUUCCUAUGUCUAGGAGAUCUAAGAAAGCUCAGGAAAUAUUUUAGUUUUUUGGACACAUUUUAACCCCUUAUUCUUGUUGGCACAACUACCUCCAUUCAUUUGUAUGGUUUACCUUCAGACGAGUCCCGAGACACUUGUGUUGGUCGUAGAGCAAAAUGGAGAACACCAUCGAUUGGUCUGACAAUCAGGGCUGUAGCUCUGCCACAUUCCAGAUAUCUAUAGUUUAAACUGACGGAUUUUGAUGGGGGUAUCUUUAUCACAUUAGUUAGAUUGCAUCAAAUAGACUCAACAGCCUAAUUCUUGAGGACACAAUUACCAUAUAUUUUUUACUCAUUAGAUUAUAAUGUAUAUACAAUAAUCUAGCGUGGAAAUGUUUACUCAAUGUAUUAAAACUGUGACUUGUUUUGUUUGUA